rnacentral:lncRNA from 1 species
CUGGCUCUGUGCUCUCUGGCUCCCUCCCAGGCUCCUGGCGUUUUCCCGACUCUGUGCUCUCUGGCUCUCUCCCAGGCUCCCAGUGUCCCCCCGACUCUGUGCUCUCUGGCUCCCUCCCAGGCUCCCAGUGUCCCCCCAACUCUGUGCUCUCUGGCUCCCUCCCAGACUCCUGGUGUCCCCCCGGCUCUGGCUCUCUCCUGGUGUCCCCCCGACUCUGUGCUCUCUGGCUCCCUCCCAGGCUCCCAGUGUCCCCCCCGACUCUGUGCUCUCUGGCUCUGGCUCCCAGUGUCCCCCCCGGCUCUGUGCUCUCUGGCUCCCUACCAGACUCCUGGUGUCCCCCCGGCUCUGGCUCUCUCCUGGUGUCCCCCCGACUCUGUGCUCUCUGGCUCCCUCCCAGGCUCCCAAUGUCCCCCCCGACUUUGUGCUCUCUGGCUCUGGCUCCCAGUGUCCCCCCCAGCUCCGUGCACUCAGGCUGCCUACCACACUCCUGGUGUCCCCCCGACUCUGUGCUCUCUGGCUCCCUCCCAGGCCCCCAGUGUCCC